rnacentral:rRNA from 1 species
UACGAAGGGUGCAAGCGUUACUCGGAAUUACUGGGCGUAAAGGGUGCGUAGGUGGUUUUUUAAGUCCGUUGUGAAAUCCCUGGGCUCAACCUGGGAAUGGCAGUGGAUACUGGAAAGCUAGAGUGUGGUAGAGGGUAGUGGAAUUCCCGGUGUAGCAGUGAAAUGCGUAGAGAUCGGGAGGAACACCAGUGGCGAAGGCGGCUACCUGGACCAGCACUGACACUGAGGCACGAAAGCGUGGGGAGCAAACAGG